rnacentral:rRNA from 1 species
UUGAGCUUGAUCCUGGCUCAGGACGAACGCUGGCGGCGUGCCUAAUACAUGCAAGUCGAGCGGAUCAAAGGGAGCUUGCUCCCUGAGAUUAGCGGCGGACGGGUGAGUAACACGUGGGCAACCUACCUAUAAGAUUGGGAUAACUCCGGGAAACCGGGGCUAAUACCGGGUAAUCCGUUUCUCCUCAUGGAGGAACGGUAAAAGAUGGCUUCGGCUAUCACUUAUAGAUGGGCCCGCGGCGCAUUAGCUAGUUGGUAAGGUAAUGGCUUACCAAGGCGACGAUGCGUAGCCGACCUGAGAGGGUGAUCGGCCACACUGGGACUGAGACACGGCCCAGACUCCUACGGGAGGCAGCAGUAGGGAAUCUUCCGCAAUGGACGAAAGUCUGACGGAGCAACGCCGCGUGAGUGAUGAAGGUUUUCGGAUCGUAAAGCUCUGUUGUUAGGGAAGAACAAGUGCCGUUUGAAUAAGGCGGCACCUGACGGACCUACCAGAAGCCG